rnacentral:rRNA from 1 species
UACCAGCACCCCGAGUGGUCGGGACGUUUAUUGGGCCUAAAGCAUCCGUAGCCGGUUCUACAAGUCUUCCGUUAAAUCCACCUGCUUAACAGAUGGGCUGCGGAAGAUACUAUAGAGCUAGGAGGCGGGAGAGGCAAGCGGUACUCGAUGGGUAGGGGUAAAAUCCGUUGAUCCAUUGAAGACCACCAGUGGCGAAGGCGGCUUGCCAAGACGCGCUCGACGGUGAGGGAUGAAAGCUGGGGGAGCAAACCGG